CUGCUGGUGCCAGUUCUCGCCCCCUGAGCACGCACGGGCGAGCGAUCCCGUAUCCAGGAGGAAGGUGCAGCUAUUUUCGUGCUUUUGGCGGAGUCACUGAAGCGGCUGAGGGGGCGGCUCGCUUUCCUGCUGAAGGGACGCGUCAGUUGUUGAGACAGAUUCAGGCCGGAAUGACAAGUGUUUCCUUGGGCUUACCAUGGGUGAGCUUCUGAAUUCUGACUGAGGAACACUUGGCAUGGCAUUCCUCAUGGAGGAGAAAAGGCAUAAAGGUGAUGUUAAGGCACCUUUACUCUUCCCUGAUUUGGACUGCUUUGCUCCUGGACAGUCUCCUCAACACUGACUUUGAGCUAUGAUGCAGCCUCUUAGCCUAAGUGUCUGUUUUGACAGCUGAUGCCAGCACAUAAAUCUUGCACUGGUCAAAACAAAUGGAACGGAACGAAAACUAGAGCCAUGCCAUGUGAGGACGCUGACAUCUGUGGAUCAUAACCAUCAAUCCCUUGCUCACGAGAGCCUGCAGAGCUGCUUCUGGCCACACUGAAGACAGAGUUAAAUGUGAAGUUGGCAGAAAGAGCAAAAUAUGAAAUUGCCCAAAAUACACUUUUGCUCAGUAUUUUGCCUAUGCCCCAGUGAUGAUUUUGAACAAUUGCCUUUGGAAAACUAUCACUCCUCUCUCUCCCGUGGCAGGAAGGAAGAAGUUCUGUGGCAAGUUUAUUUAAAAUUAAUGGUGGUGGAUUUUUUAAGCUGAUGAAAACCCAUAAGAAUCCCUUCUGAAGUAAUGAAUUGGUGAAUAAAUGAUGUGGAAAAAGACA
rnacentral:lncRNA from 1 species